AAGACCUUAGACUAAACACRAGCCGAGGACCUUCAAAGCCCUAAAUACGGCCGCUAGCCGUAGGUUCUG
rnacentral:tRNA from 1 species